rnacentral:rRNA from 1 species
UAAGCAUAUCAAUAAGCGGAGGAAAAGAAACCAACAGGGAUUGCCCUAGUAACGGCGAGUGAAGCGGCAACAGCUCAAAUUUGAAAUCUGGCCCUCGUGGUCCGAGUUGUAAUUUGUAGAGGAUGCUUUUGGUUAGGUGCCUUCCGAGUUCCCUGGAACGGGACGCCAUAGAGGGUGAGAGCCCCGUCUGGUUGGACACCGAGCCUCUGUAAAGCUCCUUCGACGAGUCGAGUAGUUUGGGAAUGCUGCUCUAAAUGGGAGGUAUAUGUCUUCUAAAGCUAAAUAUUGGCCAGAGACCGAUAGCGCACAAGUAGAGUGAUCGAAAGAUGAAAAGCACUUUGAAAAGAGGGUUAAAAAGUACGUGAAAUUGUUGAAAGGGAAGCGCUUGUGACCAGACUUGGGCCCGGUCAAUCAUCCAGGGUUCUCCCUGGUGCACUUGGCCGGCCCAGGCCAGCAUCAGUUUGUCGCGGGGGAUAAAGACGUUGGGAAUGUGGCUCCUCCGGGAGUGUUAUAGCCCUUCGUGUAAUACCCUGCUUCGGACUGAGGUUCGCGCAUCUGCAAGGAUGCUGGCGUAAUGGUCAUCAGCGACCCGUCUUGAAACACGGACCAAGGAGUCGUCUUCGUAUGCGAGUGUUCGGGUGUCAAACCCCUACGCGUAAUGAAAGUGAACGCAGGUGAGAGCUUCGGCGCAUCAUCGACCGAUCCUGAUGUUCUCGGAUGGAUUUGAGUAAGAGCAUACGGGGCCGGACCCGAAAGAAGGUGAACUAUGCCUGUAUAGGGUGAAGCCAGAGGAAACUCUGGUGGAGGCUCGCAGCGGUUCUGACGUGCAAAUCGAUCGUCAAAUAUGGGCAUGGGGGCGAAAGACUAAUCGAACCUUCUAGUAGCU